CCUACGGGAGGCUGCAGUGAGGAAUAUUUGUCACUGGGCGGGAGCCUGAACCAGCCAAGUCGCGUGAGGGAAGACGGUCCUAUGGAUUGUAAACCUCUUUAGGCGGGGAGCAAUGCCGGGCACGCGUGCCCGGAGGGAGAGUACCCGCAGAAUAAGCCUCGGCUAACUCCGUGCCAGCAGCCGCGGUAAUACGGGGGAUGCGAGCGUUAUCCGGAUUUAUGGGGUUUAAAGGGUGCGUAGGCGGAUUUUUAAGUCAGCGGUAAAAUGUCCGGGCUCAACCCGGGCCGGCCGUUGAAACUGGGGAUCUUGGGUGGGCGAGAAGUAUGCGGAAUGCGUGGUGUAGCGGUGAAAUGCAUAGAUAUCACGCAGAACUCCGAUGGCGAAGGCAGCAUACCGGCGCCCGACUGACGCUGAGGCACGAAAGCGUGGGGAUCGAACAGGAUUAGAUACCCGUGUAGUC
rnacentral:rRNA from 1 species